ACUCAGGGGUCACUCAGGGGUCAAAGGUCACUCAGGGGUCACUCAGGGGUCACUCAGGGGUCAUUGGGGUCACUCAGGGGUCACUCAGGGUCACUCAGGGGUCACUCAGGGGUCAAAGGGGUCACUCAGGGGUCACUCAGGGGUCACUCAGGGGUCAUUGGGGUCACUCAGGGAUCACUCAGGGGUCAAAGGUCACUUGGGGGUCAUUGGGGUCACUCAGGGGUCACUCAGGGUCACUCAGGGGUCACUCAGGGGUCACUCAGGGGUCACUCAGGGGUCACUCAGGGUCACUCAGGGUCACUCAGGGGUCACUCAGGGGUCACUCAGGGGUCACUCAGGG